rnacentral:rRNA from 1 species
AGAGUUUGAUCCUGGCUCAGGAUAAACGCUGGCGGCGCACAUAAGACAUGCAAGUCGAACGAACUUAAUUGAGAGCUUGCUCUCAAAGCGGUUAGUGGCGGACUGGUGAGUAACACGUAAGCAACCUGCCUAUUAGAGGGGAAUAACAGCGAGAAAUCGUUGCUAAUACCGCAUAUGCUGUGAGUAUCGCAUGAUACAAGCAGGAAAGGAGUAAUCCGCUAAUAGAUGGGCUUGCGUCUGAUUAGUUAGUUGGUGGGGUAACGGCCUACCAAGACGAUGAUCAGUAGCCGGACUGAGAGGUUGAACGGCCACAUUGGGACUGAGAUACGGCCCAGACUCCUACGGGAGGCAGCAGUCGGGAAUAUUGCGCAAUGGAGGAAACUCUGACGCAGUGACGCCGCGUGCAGGAAGAAGGUUUUCGGAUUGUAAACUGCUUUUAACAGGAAAGAAAAAAAUGACGGUACCUGUUGAAUAAGCUCCGGCUAACUACGUGCCAGCAGCCGCGGUAAUACGUAGGGAGCGAGCGUUAUCCGGAUUUAUUGGGUGUAAAGGGUGCGUAGACGGAAAUGCAAGUUAGUUGUGAAAUACCUCGGCUUAACUGAGGAACUGCAACUAAAACUAUAUUUCUUGAGUAUCGGAGGGGUUUGUGGAAUUCCUAGUGUAGCGGUGAAAUGCGUAGAUAUUAGGAAGAACACCGGUGGCGAAGGCGACAAACUGGACGAUAACUGACGUUGAGGCACGAAAGUGUGGGGAGCAAACAGGAUUAGAUACCCUGGUAGUCCACACCGUAAACGAUGGAUACUAGGUGUUGGCAAUGAAUAAUUGUCGGUGCCGGCGCUAACGCAAUAAGUAUCCCACCUGGGGAGUACGACCGCAAGGUUGAAACUCAAAGGAAUUGACGGGGGCCCGCA